UACGUAGGGUGCGAGCGUUAAUCGGAGUUACUGGGCGUAAAGGGUGUGUAGGCGGUUGUUUAAGUUUGGUGUGAAAUCUCCCGGCUCAACUGGGAGGGUGCGCCGAAUACUGAAUGACUAGAGUGCGGGAGAGGAAAGUGGAAUUCCUGGUGUAGCGGUGAAAUGCGUAGAUAUCAGGAGGAACACCGGUGGUGUAGACGGCUUUCUGGACCGUAACUGACGCUGAGACACGAAAGCGUGGGUAGCAAACAGG
rnacentral:rRNA from 1 species